rnacentral:rRNA from 1 species
UACGUAGGGGGCGAGCGUUGUCCGAAGUUACUGGGCGUAAAGCGCGCGUAGGCGGUCUAUUAAGUCUGAGGUGAAAGGUUCAACGCUCAACGUGAACAGUGCCUUGGAUACUGGUAGACUUGAGUGUGGCAGAGGAGUAUGGAAUUCCUGGUGUAGCGGUGAAAUGCGUAGAUAUCAGGAGGAACACCGGUGGCGAAGGCGGGUCUCUGGACAGUUCCUGACGCUGAGGCACGAAGGCCAGGGGAGCAAACGGG